AAAAGAAAUGUCACAAUUUCUACUUUAACAAUAGUUCUGACCUUUGGGUAGAAUUUGGUAAGUGCUAUUUGUUGGGUAGUUUUAAGUGA
rnacentral:pre_miRNA from 1 species